rnacentral:rRNA from 1 species
UACGUAGGUGGCAAGCGUUACUCGGAUUUACUAGGCGUAAAGCGUGUGUAGGUGGUUGAAUAAGUCCAUAGUGAAAUCUCUCGGCUUAACCGGGUGGGGUCUAUGGAAACUAUUCGGCUUGAGUGUGGUAGGGGAGGACGGAAUUCCUGGUGUAGCGGUGAAAUGCGUAGAUAUCAGGAGGAACACCGAUGGCGAAAGCGGUCCUCUGGACCAAUACUGACACUGAUACACGAAAGCUAGGGGAG